rnacentral:lncRNA from 1 species
AGACCCUGUCUUUAUUUAAAAUUAAGGAAAAAUAAAGAUACGAUACUGUAUGCAGAUUUAAAUCAUUUUGAGCAAGUCGUAUUUUCUUGCCACCUUGGAAGAGUCAAUUAACAUUUAUUGCUGGCCACAUGGCAGACAAUAUGCUCAAUGCUUCAUGGGCAUUAUCUCAUUUCUGUUUUAAAUUACAAAAUGAAGUCUAUGGAUGUUGAAAAUUUUGAAAGAUAUAGAAAAACACAGGAUAAAAAUUGAGAGGCUCUCGUCUCUUCUGCCUUCCCUUACCUUCUCUCUCACUGCUCUCUUUCCCUACAGCUUACCCUAGUGGUACAUGUAUGGUUGUGUGCCGGAUAUGUAUGUGUGUGUUUGUGGGUAGCUGUGUGUACAUACACACAUAACCAUACAAACAAGACCAUAGCUAUUUAUUGUAUUAAGACUUUUCCCCCCUUUUUAAUAGUGUAAUUUGGAUAUUUUCCUGCCUUCUACCAAAUACAUAAAUAUCAUGUUUCUUAAUACUCUUAAUAGUCUAUUCCAUAGUUUAGACUGUAUUUAACAACUCCCUUAUCAUUAGAUAUUUAGGCUUGUCCAGCUUUUUGCUAUCACAAACAGGGAUCUUGGUGUAUAUGUGAAUGUUGGCAGCAGGUUAGCAGAGCACCAGAAGUGGGACUACUGGUCAAACCUUUGCACAAAAAUCAUACAGCCUCUAAUAGCAUUUCCCAGAGAAGAAAAGGGCCUUGUCUGGAACACAGAUCAAGAACUCUUAACUUUUUCUGAUCCAUGCUUUACAUUGCCACUUGAUAAAUACUACAUGUCAUCUCUAAGUACCACUAAAUCUCCCAUCUGGAGAGAUGGGACACUCUCCUUUAUACCUUUGAUGACUUUACUACCCAUGAUAAAAGCAGGAGAUCCCACCUUCCAGCUGCCCCUUCUUAAACAUCUAACUCUGUGCAAGUCCCAACCCUCAUUUAAUCACUUUGCUACUUCAUUGCAUUCAUCACACCAACUUGCAGUUAUUUGUACAGUUGUUCAUCUUCCAUUAGACUGAGCCCUCUGAGGGCAGGAAAUAUUUUUCAUUCUUCUUGGAACUUCCUUUUCCUAACAUAGUGUCUGAGAUGCUCAAUAAACUUUUUUUUGAGUGAAUAAAAAAUAAAUGAGGGAGUAGAAUACCUAGAUGAAUUCAGUUAUAAAAUGGCUCCAGGUACUGAAAUUGUCCAUUUUCAUUUUUAUGUUUUUGCAAUAAGAAAGAUGAACAUGCAUCUCCCCUAGUGCUACUUUUUUCAAAACUAAAUAUUCUAAUUCCAAGGCUUUAUUUCCGUCAAAUAACUACCACUUCCAAAUUCUUCUGUUAUUUUUAUUGUUCUCCAGGAUCUCUCCAUCUCAAUCAUGUCAUACAUUGGAAACAAUUCUCUGACACUUCAUCUAUAUACAAUCAACACUUUGUUAGGCUCUUGUAGCUGCCUCAUUUUUUGUAACACAAUAGAAUACUUGCCUUAAUAAUAAAUUAUAUUUGCCUUACAGUAUGGCUUAUUAGAUACCCAAAAUGUUUUCUGCCAUGCUUUCGAAAUGUUUUGACUGCAUGACAUUCUAUGGUGUUAAAAUUCCCCAAAAUGAAUGAUUUAUACUGCAUUUGCCUUAAUUGGAAUCUAUCCUGUUUUCAUCUUUCCUACUUUGACAGUCAUCUCAAUGUAAAUCCUGUGUCAGAGGUGCUUAUCUGUCUCUUUGCUACUUUUCUUUGAAAACUAAACAUAAACACAAGAAAUUUCACAUAGUAAAACUAGUAAGAUCUGGGUUUAUAAAUAUAAAUGGUGCAUCUGUGGCGGCAGAGCUCUGUCUCCAACUUCUUGGAGAUAAACAAGUUCAUAGUUAGAAAUGCUCUAGAAGUAAACAGGAAACCUGCUACACAAAUUGUGAAAUAUAAGUAUGUUUUAUAGAAGUCCUGAAAUUGUAUUUUUCAACAAGUUAAAACAGAAAAACCUAACACUACCAUAUCCAUUAAAUAUUAAUUCUCUCUUCCUCAAAUGUUUUACUCAUAUCUAUGCCUGUCCCUUUGGAACAUUUUUCAGUCAAAUUCAUAACACUGUCUUGAUUCCAAGCCUCAGGAGAACAUUUGAAUGAAAUUUUCAAAUGCUUCAAUUUUUAUAUCAUCCAAUGUGGAAUUCACAUUUACUGAGCACCUGCAAUGAGCUAGGAUCUGUACUACAUACUUUUAAAAAUACAUUAUUUUUCCUAAGAAAGUUCUGAGGUAGAUAUAUUAUUUUACAGAUGAGGAAACAGAGGUUCAGAGAGGUUAACUGACUUCACAAAAGUCAUAGAGCUACUAGGUAACAGAGCUCAUUGAACAUGGAGCUAGGAUUCAACCCUGGAUCGCCGUGAAGCCAUUUUGUUUCCAUGACAUCAUGACAUUGGUUAUAACACCACAAUUGUUUAGAAUAUAAGGCUUGUUUAGAAUGCAAGGCUUCCUCAAUUCUCCACCCUUCCCCUCUUGACAUCUUGCUCUUCUUCCCUUCAUCUAUUGUGUUAGUCAGGUGCAUGCUGGUCUUCCCUCUAUCAAACUGUAAGCUACUUGGAGACUUGGGAUGCCUCACUCAUCUCUAUUCCCAAACCUCAGGGUCUAUCAUUCUACCUUCUGUAUAGACAGGACUUUCAUAGUUUUGAACAAGUCAGAACCUGAAAGAAUUUGCUUCCAGAACAGGACAUUGACAGGAAAAUUAAGCAUGAUCAUGCCGAGUAAAAUAGGAAUAAGAAUUGGACCUACCUCAAGAUCUGUUGAGAAGAUUAUGAGAGAGCUGAUGGAUCUAAAAGAUUGGCGCUUGAUAGAAUUGGGAUCAUUUGUUUUGACUAGAACAAUCUCUUGCAGCUUGGAUGGAGAAACUUUACAGAGGUUUCAGCCAAACACUCAUGAAUUCUUUAAUGUGUGAAAUAAAGAGCUAAAAUAAUAUCUAAGUUUCCUCUUUGCCUGACGCCAUCCAUGCAAAAUGUGACUUGCUUCUUCAGCAGCAGCAUGAAAACAAACUAAUACACCACUAUUCCUAGGUAAGUAGAGCCACAAUGGGAAGACCACUAAGGGAAUAUGGAGGCUCACAGAGGCUAGUCAAUUUAUCCAAGGCCACGCAGCAAAGCUGGGACUCAAACUCAAAUCUUCUAGUCCUAGUUUCAUUCAGUUUUUUUUUUUUCCUACAUUGAUUCUAGACUUUGUUCUACAAGUGACUACUUUUCUGUUUUGUUCCUGACAUGAACAUGUCCAUGGCUGUCUCAGACUUGUUUGGUUACCCUAAGUAACCAUUUAGCAGCCAAUUUCUGAUAUGACUAUAGAUACAUCUCUAUAAGUGAAUUCUAUAGGUGAUUUGGCAUGAUCAAAAUGAAAAGGCUUUGUUUGAGUUCCCCAAUAUACUGCUCAAAUGAAAGCUUCUCAAAAUAUCAUUUUGAGAUACGACAGGUCUUUCCUUCAAAUACAACAGAUACUUUUCUUUUGCAGCACUCAGCAUACAUACAACUAUUUAUUUAUCUGUAAGUACUUGCUUAGUAUCUGUGAAGAACAUUGCAGGUACCUGACAUAUGUCUAACUGAUGGAGUGAGGCUGCUAAUGUGGCCAUCUCUCCCUCUUCCUGAUAAGAAAGUGAACCAGCCAUUUCAAAAUGUGGAGAAUUCGAUAAAUAUGUUCUACUCCUCUAUAGCCCUCCCACUAAAAUAAUUUUCAAUUUUCAAUUGAGGUGAAAGGAAGAAUCGGCAAAGAGACGGAUUGAGAGAAUUGUUUAUACUCAUAACUUCGUUCUCAACAUAAUUAUCUAUUUCUGAAUCCUAAAAAUCACCUAGCUAGAUUCUCCCUCAAUCUGAAGAUUACCUUUUACUCCUUGAGAUGCUAAAUGUGUUCCUAUUUAUCAUAUUAAUAUUGCGAGUAUUUUGUGUUAUGCAGCCAGAAAAAUCACAUAAUGGGAACUUACCCACAGCCCCCAAACUCAUAAACAGGAGCUGAAUAGAAAUUCCUCAGUGCAAUUUAUGGUAACAAUUUCAUGCUCAGUUUAGUUACUUCCAUGACUCAGAAAAGAAAUUUCUUUUGCUUAUUUCAGUAAUUUUUUUCUAAAAAAUUGUUCCCCUAAUUUUUGGCAAAGGAUCUAUGAGAAAGUGAAGAACUCCCUGGUUGUACAUGGAUUUGGAAUUGUCACUUAAGUGAGGCCAAAAUGUAACCCUAUGCCAUUCAUUGCAUAGUACCAUUUGUUAUAAAUUUGACCUCUAAAACAAAGAUAUUACAAAGCCAUUGAGUGUUUUUUUAAGGGAUAUAUUAUAUUUGUCACUUAGUCCCCAGUAUUAUGAUGGAAAACCUGGAUAGUGGAUAGAAAACCUGGAGGUCAUUUAGGCAUCUCUUUCACUGGUUGGGUGAGAAAUGGUGAAGAAGAUGGGAAUGGAGAAGGGACAUACAUUUGGUAAGUGUAAAUAAGAGUCUUUGCUGAUUAAUUCAGUGUGGCCCAUGAGAAAGAGUGGAAGUGUCCAAGGUUCCCUCAGGUUUACAGCUUGGGCAACUGACUGAGAACAGAAAGGAGCUGCCAUUGAGAGGAAGAAAAGAAAAUGACACUGAGUCCAUGUUGGGACACAUUGGGUUUAAAGGGAUAUCAUUAUGACCUAAGCUCUCUGAAUUCCAGUGACUGGGAAUAUGGGAAGAUACAUCUUUAACAGUUGAAGCAAUUUAUACACUUUAACAAUUGAAGCAAUUUAUACACCAGAGCCUAAGGAAUAUUUAUAGAUGAGGGCUGUGCUGCAAUGACAGAUAGGGUUGUAUGAAACAUACACUAAUCUGACCAUUCUAUCCUCCAGACUCAGGGAAGGAAAUAAUAAAAGUAAGUAACCAUAAAAAAUAGACUUUUAUGCAUAAAUAAAUAAAAAUCAGCUAGGAGACAGUUCAUCCCUGUAUAAGUAAAACAGGCAAAUUUAUCUUUCCUCUGAUUAAUAAUUUAAGAAAAAAUCCCAAGCAAGCUGCCUAUGGAGGUGUAGGAGUAGCUCCUAUAAUUAGACUCCAAUUUGAACCAUGAGGGUGAGGAUCAGAAAGCUGACUCAGAGCCUGGUGUCAAUUAUUUGCAGUUUGUACAACGAAAGGCUAAAAAUUUGGGAGAUGCAGGAUGACUGAAGCCCGAUUCUGGGGGUUGUUACAGCACAGUUACAGGGUAAGUUUUUUCCAUUGUUAUUUGCUGGAAAAUUUAUUCUCCAUCUCCUUUAGUCUGUGCCUGAAUUUUGUGGGACUUGCUCGAGAAUGGUAUUCAUGCUUUAAAUCCAAGAGCCAGGAAUCAUCGCAUUUCAACAAUUUUCCUAUUUAUUUUAACCAAAACAGAGCUGGUUUCUAUAACUCAAUUUAAGAAAUUAUCCUCUUUGAUACAAUCUACUUAUGUUUGAUUGAUUUUAGAAUAAACUAACAGAUACACAAGAGCUUAUCAAGCUAGCUCGGUUCAGUGGAGAACUAUAGCAGAAACAGCAGGUUUCUAUUUGGCACAUUUUGGAUUUAUCUGGACGCAAGAGGAUGUGAAAAGAACACCUUUCAGACAAAAGCCAGUCUUGAGUAGGAAUUUAGUGUUCCUUGCCCAAACAGCUUAGUUUGUUUCCCAUUUUGAGUCACUAUCUGAAUCCUUUUUUAUCUCCUAUAUAGAACAAAUUCUCUCCCUCUAUUUAAUAGGCUUUCAGAUAUGAAACAGAGAGAGAGAGAGAGAGAGGAAGGAAGGAAGGGAGGGAGGGAAAGAGAAAGGGAAAGAAGGAAGGAAAAGCUCUAAUUUCUUCUGUUCUUUUGGUAACACACCUCCCCUUCACAUCCUUCAGCUGCUCCCCUUAGGGCUUUUUGUAGACACUUUUGGUGGUCUCUCCUCUCACACACUGCUCACCACUGUACUUUAUUUUGUAUCAUCUGUCUCCAUCCUUUCCCAACUCCUGAGCACUCAGCCUCCUCUGGAUCUUUUCUGGUUCCUUCGCUCCUAGAACUGUGUCUGAUGGCUUAUGAAGGCAAAUGACAAAUGUUUGCCAUAUGCACAUGUAUGUGCAUGAAUGAAUACAUCCAGGUUCUGACUUCCUCGGGGCAACCUCUACUUUCUCAAUGCCCCUCUUAAGAUGGGGGUGGGGGAGGGUCCUCCUAGAACUGAACAUGAUAUUCCAGGUGUGAUCUAAUACAUUUAAAUGUCCAAAAGCUCUUUCUUCCCUAAACGUUCCUUUUUAAAAGCUACUGUUCUCAAUUAAUGGGUGUCUCAUCUUCUUAAGUAUAUUAAUAAGAGGUAUUUUGAUGUUUCCCUCCAUUCUGUGGAUUACCUCUUGAUUCUCUGGAUUCUUUGUGAUUCCGUUUUGUUUUAAGGAUGUUCUCAGGUGUCUGGUGAUCCUUGCUUAUAAGUCCAAAUUAAUGAUGAGGCACUAAAAUGCUGAUUGGAAGCUCUCUGUGCAGGCAGGUAUUGUUGAAUAGUGGUAAACAGGGGACAUGUUCAUUUUGGAGACACUCAAAUAUCAGGACCUAUAAAUCUCUAUGCCAAGUCAGUUUCCCCAGAGUCUCUUAAUAUCAUUUCUUUCAGGUUAAAAGCCUGGUUACCAGGUUCUGGGAGUGAAGGGAGGAGUGGGGCUUAGACAAGGGUGGGGGCGGGGGUAUGUCUCACAAUUCACUAAAUACCUUCUUUUAUAUAUGUGUUCUCUGUGCAGCAUUUUACCCCCACCAUCGUCCAUGUCUGAUGCCUCAGGUUCAAUCUUGUUCAGUCUUUCCAAAGAGGAAACAUUGGUUGGGUGGGAAUGAUUGGCAGGUCGAAGAGAGAAUUUGAAGCUAUAGCUGCUCCUUUUAAAACUUCUAACUCAUCUUUGUUUUUUCAGGCCUUCCUCACACCCAUGUCUUCAGAUACCCAAGGCCUUUAAUACCCAAGUCCUUCCAGGAUUCUGCACAUCUCAUUAGCUUCAUAUUCCCGUAAGUACUUGGGUUUCUGCUUUCUCAGCUCUGAUGUGUCAUUUUCUAAUCAAUCAUCAGCAUUCCAGCUUCCAAAGUUUUGUUCAUAUAUCUUACAUGUGUUGUCUUGACCGACUUCUUUUUGGACCUUAGAUUAUUUACCUAUUUAAAUUCCUUAAUUGUUACUUUAGUGGAGUUUUGGAAGGGAACAAAAAUAUAGGCAGGUGUUUAUCACAUUUAACAAGGAACUCAAAAUUUAUAUUUAAUUCUAUUUAAUCUGGCUGCCUUCUUGCCAUCAGUCUAUUUGAAAAGUUCAUAUGGACCCAGCUCUGUCAUCAUCACAUGUUCUAUAUCCCCAAACCUUGUGACAUCUGCAAAGAAGUACAGAAGACCUCAAGAGAAGAUAAGCUAGAAUUUAUUUAUUUUUAUACCUUUUAUUCAGUUUUUAUUAAAGCUUUCCUACCUUUCCAGAUUGACACAGAAUUAUUCCAUGAAUCUGUCUAUUAAUCCAUUUACAGCAAGUGCUGGGGAUAGAAAUUAAGGUUUAAACAUAUAAUUCCUGCCAUCAAAGGACUCCCUGUUGAUUAGGGGACACAGGCAAGAAAAUAGACAGUAAGUUUGUUAAGGCAUGAACAAAGAACUGUGUUGGUACACACAGUACAGAGAGGAAGUACAAAGAGGAUGGUGCUUAAGAAGAGUUAACACCUAGACCUAAUCUUAGAGGAUGAGGAAGCAUUGGGUAGACUAGAAGACUAGGUGUAGGGGUAAAGGAAGGCAUAUCAGAGAAAAGGGAGCAGCUACAUAGAGGCAAGGACUAUGCCUCUUCUGCCUCUGAAGAGGAGAAAUUUCUUUCAAUCAAUAGAAAGUGCAGGACAAAGGGUACUAAGUCAUCUUUUGAUGGGAUAACUUGAUGUUAGUGUCCUUCCAUGAGAAAAUGGGAAGCAGCCCCUUAUAAUAAAACCUCUGGCUUUUGAAUUACCAAGUAAAACUGAGGUGUCAGCAACCCUUGGCUGAAUGUGGAACUUGCUAAUAGAACCCCUACAUUCAUGGGAAGGGAUAAAAGAGCUUUAAAAAGUACAAAAGCAUUGUGUGAAUAUAUGGGAUUAAUAUUACUACUACAAUAUUGCCUACCACCACCAUCCCCAGCCCUGAGGAGUCUUCUUAAACUUACAAAAUGAAGCUGCUUCUCUAUGGAUGUAGACAUUUCCUGGUUUCAACAUUGCACCAUAGCUAUGCAUUAUGUCAACAUUGGGAAAAGGCAGGGUGGAAGGUGCACAGGAGCUCUCUGUACAUUUCUUUGAAACUUCCUUUAUACCUUUUAAAAGUUAAAAAGCAGCAGCAGUGGCAGCUUCUCAAGGCCAAAGAUGGGGAGCUCUAUUUCAUUUGCAUUUCUACUCAGGGCUAUAAUGAAUUGAACUCAAUGUGUUGCUAAAGAUUAUUAUGAAAUUAAAAUCCAAUUAGGAUGGUCUCGUGGGUCUGGUAAAAGCUUGGAUUAGAGACCAGGCACAACACGGGGUUGGGGGAGAUGGACUGCUCAAUAGAAGUAGGGCUGAGUGGGGAGUUUAAAGCACUGGCCUCUAAGUAUAGGAACCACUGUACAAAUUUUAAAAUAUACUCAGGAUAGUUAAUAUUUGAUCAAAAUCCACUGUGAAGUGAGGAAUUUUUCCUGCUGGGCAUUCUAUUUUCCAGUUCUAUGAUCAAGCCCAGUGACUGGUAAAUACAAUAUGCCCCACUAGCCCCCAGCUUCUCCCAGCUCCUGUUCCCUCCUGGUGCUCAAAGGGAGAAAGGCUAAGAAAUUCCAAGCCCUGGUCAGGAAAGUGAUCUUGAAAUCACACACAAUGAAUAGUGCCAUCACUAAUGACUCAGCUUGUAAAGAACCAGUGAAGUGAGGAAAUUCUUUCUAUGCACAGAAUGUCUAGAUAUUUAGGCAAAAUUGAAGGGGAUGAGGCAGGAAUAACCAGGACAAACUCAGUAAGAACUUCAACCCUGGUUUUCUCAAGAUUCAGUUUAUGUGCUGAUCAUUUUCUCUCAUAUCUAAUUCCCUUACUUCCCCUGCUCUGUUUUACAUCGAAAGUGCUGACUUCAUGCAAAUUACAUGCAAUUUGCAUGUAAUUUGGAAUUUGCUCCCUGGGAAAAUCACUUCUGACUAGGUUCAGCCAAUGGGAGGCACUAACAGGAGAUUGGAGGGUAGGAGGAAGGGAGGCAUAAGGGAAUUUCUUUCCCCUCUCUGUUUCAGGUGGCAUUUCAAGAAUGUCUGUUUUUCCUCCAUGAUUUCUAUAGAUAUUCCUUAAUUUUCAAGUCUCCAUUAGCAUAGGUAUGAAGGUUUCUCAAUGUGCUCUUGCUUUGGCUUCCUUUAGUCAGAAUAGAAAGAGAAAGUUUUUUAACUUUAUUCAAACAUAUUAGGGGUUUGCUAGAGAAUACAUUAUUUGCCCCUAGUUAUCCUGAUGUUAUAAAAGGAGGCAGACCUGGACAAGUGUAAAUUAGCACAGACAUUCUAACAAUCACCAGAAAAAUGCACCCAUAAGUAGUGCCAAUGCAAGAAGUUUUGACUGUAAUGCCCGUGUGCAGUAGGCUGAAUGAUGGCCCCCAAGUAUAUCUAUAUCCUAAUCCCGAGAACUUGUGAAUGUUACUUGCUAUGCUGAAAGGGACUUUGAAGGUGUGAUUAAGGGUUUUGAGAUGGGGAGAUUUUCCUGGAUUAUAUGAAUGUGUCCUAAAUAUAAUCACACAGGUCCAUGUAAGAGGUAGGCAAGGUCAAAGGAGGAAAUAGAAGGUAAGAUAAUGAAAACAAGAGGUUGGAGGGCUGUGAGGAAGGGGGUCACAAGCCAAGAAGCAUAGGUGGCCUAGAGAAGCUAGAAAACACAAAGAAAUGGAUUUCUUAUAGAGUCUUCACGGGGGACUAGCCUUGCUCACACCUUGACUUUAGCCUAGUGAAACUGAUUUCAGACUUCUGGCCUCCAAAACUGUAAGAGAAUAGAACUGUGCUG